UCGGCUGUCAGCGGACUGCUC
rnacentral:snRNA from 1 species